UACGAAGGGGGCUAGCGGUGUUCGGAAUUACUGGGCGUAAAGGGCGCGUCGGCGGUCUUGUAAGUCAGAUGUGAAAGCCCCGGGCUCAACCCGGGAAUAGCAUUUGAUACUGCGAGGCUUGAGUCCGGGAGAGGAUGGCGGAAUUACCAGUGUAGAUGUGAAAUUCGUAGAUAUUGGGAAGAACACCGGUGGCGAGGGCGGCCAUCUGGACCGGCACUGACGCUGAGGCGCUAAAGCGUGGCGAGCAAAUAGG
rnacentral:rRNA from 1 species